AUGAAAAAAAAAAAGGAUUGUUUAAAGCCAUGGUUCUCAAAGCGUCAGGCCCCCUCUAGUUGUUAUGCAGGUGAAUCACUAAAUUAAACUAAUUAAUGUUAAUAUAUUUUAACUUAAUCUUUGAGUAAGUUUUUUUUUUUGCACAUUUAAGUAUGUUACAGUUAAAGUACAGUACAGUUUUGUAACUUUUGUUACAUAAUUACAUUUAAAAUUACAUUUUAAUUUAAACUUUUUUUUUUCAUUUACCUGUGUAUGUAAGCACAGUUGUAGUGUUAAUGUUCAAACUGUAUUUACCAUGGUAAAGUGUCUGACAACAAUAAAUAUUCUUAUUAGAAUAAAACUGCCUCAUUUUUUUACUGUAGAGCUGUAGCUGAAUAGUUUGGCCUACUACGCUGCUGAAAUGUAAUGUUGGUCAUUAUGGUGCAACUUAAUAUUUAAUAACAAAUAUUUUCUGAAGUGGUACUUGGUAUAAAAAGUUUGAGAACCAGUGGUUUAAAGAAAUGGUAUAAUAUGAAAUCCUGCUUUUUAAGAACUUUUCAGUAAACCAUUUCUUCUUUCCCCUUGUAGAGUCAUCGAGGAUCCAGCUUGUUCUUGAAACAUUGAAGUUUGCACUCUGCAAGUGAACGACGCCUUGUGGUGCCAUCCCAAAGAAGUUCAAAAUCACUCUCAAGGAUCUUUUCCUGGACUGUGCCCAGCUGGUGGAAUGACCUCCCAAUCUCAAUCCGAACUGAGUGUUUACUCAUUUUCAAGAAACAUCUUAAGACUCAUCUUUUUCACCAGAACUUAACCAACUAAUGCUAGCACUUUUCCUUCUUUUCUUGUCUUUUUUAUAUAUAUAUAUAUAUAUA